rnacentral:rRNA from 1 species
UACGCGGUGUGCACAAAGGGGGUACGGUGCGUAUCUUGAAUGUCAAAACGACUCUCGGCAACGGAUAUCUCGGCUCUCGCAUCGAUGAAGAACGUAGCGAAAUGCGAUACUUGGUGUGAAUUGCAGAAUCCCGUGAACCAUCGAGUCUUUGAACGCAAGUUGCGCCCGAAGCCUUCGGG